CGAACGCUCGGCGGCGUGCCUAACACAUGCAAGUCGAACGCGAAAGUCCUUCGGGAUGAGUAAAGUGGCGCACGGGUGAGUAACACGUAGGUGACCUGCCUUUUAGAGGGGAAUAACCAGAAGAAAUUUUGGCUAAUGCCGCAUACGAAGUACAAAUCUAAGAGUAGUACUUGAAAGGAUGCCUCUGUAUAUGCAUUCACUAAAAGAUGGGCCUGCGGUACAUUAGCUUGUUGGUGGGGUAAAGGCCUACCAAGGCAACGAUGUAUAUCCGGUCUGAGAGGAUGAUCGGACACACUGGAACUGAGACACGGUCCAGACUCCUACGGGAGGCAGCAGUGGGGAAUAUUGCGCAAUGGGGGAAACCCUGACGCAGCAACGCCGCGUGAGUGAGGAAGGACUUCGGUCUGUAAAGCUCUGUUAAUGUGGAAAAAUGGUAGCUGGUCUAAUAGGCCGGCUAUUUGAUGGUACACAUAGAGGAAGCACCGGCUAACUUCGUGCCAGCAGCCGCGGCAAUACGAAGGGUGCAAGCGUUGUUCGGAUUUAUUGGGCGUAAAGCGCGCGUAGGCGGACCUGUAAGUCAGAUGUGAAAUCUCGGGGCUCAACCUCGAAACUGCGUCUGAAACUGCAGGUCUAGAAUCUUGGAGGGGGAAGGGGAAUUUCGCAUGUAGGGGUAAAAUCCGUAGAUAUGCGAAGGAACACCAGAGGCGAAGGCGCCUUCCUGGACAAGUAUUGACGCUGAGGCGCGAAAGCGUGGGGAUCAAACAGGAUUAGAUACCCUGGUAGUCCACGCUGUAAACGAUGAAUACUAGGUAUUGGAGGAUUUGACCCCUACAGUGCCGUAGCUAACGCGUUAAGUAUUCCGCCUGGGAAGUACGGUCGCAAGACUAAAACUCAAAGGAAUUGACGGGGGCCCGCACAAGCGGUGGAUUAUGUGGUUUAAUUCGAAGCAACGCGCAGAAACCUUACCUAGGCCCUGAAAUCCCACGAA
rnacentral:rRNA from 1 species